AUACCUUUCACGGCCUUUUGGCUAAGAUCAAGUAUAGUAUCUGUCUUUUAUCAGUUUAAUACUCCCUCCGUUUCAAAAAGUUUGUCUUAGUUUGAUUUGGCACAAACUAUAAUAAAGAAGAGUUUUUUGAGAUAUGUGGUCUUAAAUAAGCCAUAACAUUU
rnacentral:snRNA from 1 species